CAAACGCUGCCUGUAUGACACACAGGAUGCCAACUACAAAAAUAGGAGGAGCAGGCAGCAGGCCUGGGAGGAUAUUGGCAAAAGCAUCUGGCCAGAUUGGAGCAGUUUAACCAAGACAGUGAAACAGGGAAAAGUCAACACUAUCAAAGGCAAAUGGAAAAGCCUGAAAGACGCCUUUAUCCGCCAUCGCCGCAAACAAAAGGAGCAGAGGAGCGGAUCGUCCCCAGGCGCACGCUCCAGUUAUGUGCAUGCAGCCCAAAUGUCAUUUUUGAUACCGUGCACCGAAAUGCGGAGCACCGAUAGUAGCUGGGAACACAGCCAGGCGCAAGCUGAUGAGGAAGAGGACGAGGGCACAAUCAUCGACAGUGAGCCCGGACCAUCU